rnacentral:piRNA from 1 species
UGAUCACAGGGAGGCUUACAAAAUGGUA